CAGAUGGAAUCUGCCAUGGUUUUAGAGGAGAAAAUCUGAGUUGAGAAAUAGUAAUUUUCUAAUGACUCCAGCUAAAAGAGGGAUGAUUUUUAUUGGUGAAUUUGGUUAUUUUUGACUGCCAUAAUUUCUUUCUUUCUUUCUUUCUUUCUUUCUUUCUUUCUUUCUUUCUGGCCACACCAGCAGCAUAUGGAAGUUCCUGGGCCAGGGAUUGAAUCUGAGCUGCAGCUGCAGGUCAACAGCACAGCUGCAGCAAUGCUGGAUACUUGAACCCACUGCGCCAAGUUGGAGACCUAACUGGCACCUCUGCAUUGACCCAAACCACUGCAGUUGGAUUCUUAGCCCACUGUGCUGAAGCAGGAGCUCCUUGACUCUCAUAAUUUCUUAAGAUGAAUAUGUAUUUCAUCUCUGAUAUGGUAUUGUAACUAUCUCAGAAUGCAAAAUAGAGGAUAGAGUAUGGUAAAUCAUAAUUCUUACAAAAAAAUGAUAUUUGUACCAAAAUGAUUUCCCUCUUACCUACUGCCAUAUAAAACACUCUGGCCCAUGUGCAAUGUCUGGAUAUUUCUUGGUACAAUAUUGGGUGUAUCUCUAAGCCAUGAGAUGGUGUGAUUGUAACUAAGAAUACUUGAUGUAAAUUCUAUUGUGUUCUACAGCAUUUUUUUUUUUUACUACUUUUGAAAUUUAAGGCCGCAUAGAACUGAGUUAAUAGACACUUGCAUACACCCAAGUUUCUCUGAAUACUUUGAAUUAGGUUAAAAAUUUCUCAGAAAAUCCACAAUAUCCUAAACAGACACACCUUUGUCACCUGUUAGAUCCAAGUUGCUCAAAAAGCAUCAGACAUAACAGCAUUAUUCACAAUAGCCAAAAGCUAGAAAUAACCCAACAAUACAUCACAGAUGAAUGGAUAAACAAAAUGUGAUAUAUAUAUAUAUACAUAUAUAUUUACAAAUAUAUAUAUUUGUAUAUAUAUCACACACACAUACACCCAUAUUGUGUAUAUGUGUAUACACACACACACACACAAUGGAAUAUUAGCCCAUGAAAAGGACUGAAAUUCUGAUAUAUGCUACAACAUGGAUGAAUCUUGAAAACAUUACGCUAAAUAAAAUACACGAGUCACCAAAGGACAAAUAAUUUAUAAUUCCAUUUAUAUAAAGCAGCUAGAAAUGGCAAAUCCAUAGAGACAGAAAGAAUCAGGAUUAUCAGGGACUUGGAGGGGAGUUACUAUUUUGUGGCUACAGAGUUUCUGCUUCACAUGAUGAAAAGGUUCUGGAAGUAGAUCGUAAUGAUGGUUAUACAACUUUACGAAAGUCCUCACUGCCAUUGAAUCGUAUACUCAUAAAGGGUUAAAAUGGUAACUUUUAUGUUAUAUGUAGUUUACAGCCAAAGAGAGAGAAAGAGAGAGAGGAAGGAAAGAAGGAAGGAGGGAGGGAGGAAGGAAGGGAGGAAGGAAGAAGAAACCAAAGAGGUACCACUUGACUCUCACCAAUUGGGACAUGAUCUGUGCAUCUAGAACUGCUGAAGAGCAGAAGUUUGUUUUGUACGUCUGUGUUCUAAUGAUAGAAUAAUCCACCGUCUCAAAACAGAGUCCGGAUUCCCAGAGAGGGAACUCGGCUCCGAUAGAGAGAGGAUGAUGUAAGAUGCUUGUGAGACAUUCAGAUUGUUGCAUAUUACGUUCGAGGAAAGAAGGUGGGGGCAGGAGGGUUGAAAAUAAGACAGUAAAAAGCACCUGAGUUUUAAAAGAGAAAAUGAUCAGCAACGAGAAAUACAGGGAUGAGAAAUGAACAAGGAAACUAGUUGUGGCAUGACAGUAGAAACUCCAUAUGUAGUACUAGGCAUUUCUUUUUUUUUUUUUUUUUUUCCUGUCUCUUUGCCAUUUCUUGGGCCGCUCCCACGGCAUAUGGAGAUUCCCAGGCUAGGGGUCGAAUUGGAGCUGUAGCCACCAGCCUACACCAGAGCCACAGCCACACAGGAUCUGAGCCGCAUCUGCAACCUACACCACAGCUCACAGCCACGCCAGAUCCUUAACUCACUGAGCAAGGCCAGGGUAGGCAUUUCUUGCUUAUACUUUUUAUUUUUUUUCUUAUUCCCUUGAGCAGAAGCUGAGGGAAUAUGUCCCUUUCAAAUAUCUAGUGUUAUUUUUAAAAAAUACCACUAAGCCUUUAGUCUAUUAGCCCAUUCCAAACAUUCACUUGCAGUGAUUAAGAUUAUGUAUACAAGAGAGUCGGCUCAAUUUCCCGUGAAGCUGCUCACGGAGGAGGCCUCGAAACUUGGGGAACACUGCAGCACAACUGCUCAGGAUCACCAGCGAAGUCAAACAAAAAUUGGAAUUAUUCAGAAAAAAACAUUCUCCAGUCUAAGAAAGAGGUCCCAAACCAUUGCGGUCCCUGGUACCCUUGGAGAUGAGAGCAGGGAAGAACAUGGUAUGGAGGUUGGAGAGAGGUGGGUUUGAGAGUGAUGGGGAGCAUCCCAGCCAAGAUCAACCUGUUCACUAUCCGGGGGUAGAGUUUUGAGAGUUCAUUUUAUCAUUUGUCUAUUUAUUUAUUUACGUUUUAUUGAAGUCUAGGUAGUUGACAAGGCUGUGAAGAUUUCUGCUGUACGACACAGUGACCCAGUCAAGCAUAUACACAGAUCCCUUCUCUUUCAGAUUCUUUUCCCGUGUAGCUCAUCACAGAAUACUGGGUAGAGUCCUCUGUACCCUCCUGAGUGUUCAUUUUAAUCACAUGGCAACCACCAAGAGGCAGGGCGGAUACGCAUUUAGAAAGAACAACUACAACUCCAUUCAAGUCAGUUUGGGUGGUGGGAUGCUAUGAACUCUCACCAUCCCCCAUAAGAUGG
rnacentral:lncRNA from 1 species